rnacentral:rRNA from 1 species
AGUGAACGCUGGCGGUAGGCCUAACACAUGCAAGUCGAACGGCAGCACAGUAAGAGCUUGCUCUUACGGGUGGCGAGUGGCGGACGGGUGAGGAAUACAUCGGAAUCUACUUUUUCGUGGGGGAUAACGUAGGGAAACUUACGCUAAUACCGCAUACGACCUACGGGUGAAAGCAGGGGAUCUUCGGACCUUGCGCGAUUGAAUGAGCCGAUGUCGGAUUAGCUAGUUGGCGGGGUAAAGGCCCACCAAGGCGACGAUCCGUAGCUGGUCUGAGAGGAUGAUCGGCCACGCUGGAACUGAGACACGGUCCAGACUCCUACGGGAGGCAGCAGUGGGGAAUAUUGGACAAUGGGCGCAAGCCUGAUCCAGCCAUACCGCGUGGGUGAAGAAGGCCUUCGGGUUGUAAAGCCCUUUUGUUGGGAAAGAAAAGCAGCAGGUUAAUACCACGCUGUUCUGACGGUACCCAAAGAAUAAGCACCGGCUAACUUCGUG